rnacentral:rRNA from 1 species
AAUCAACGCUGGCGGCGCGCUUAACACAUGCAAGUCGAACGAGAAAGGGAGCAAUCCUGAGUAAAGUGGCGCACGGGUGAGUAACACGUGGGUAAUCUGCCCUCUGGUGGGGAAUAACUCUGGGAAACCGGAGCUAAUACCGCAUAAGACCGGAAGGUGAAAGGGCGAAAGUUCGCCGGAGGAGGAGCCCGCGGCUGAUUAGCUUGUUGGUGAGGUAAAAGCUCACCAAGGCUGAGACGGUAGCCGGCCUGAGAGGGCACACGGCCACACUGGCACUGAAACACGGGCCAGACUCCUACGGGAGGCAGCAGGUGGGGAAUCUUGCACAAUGGGGGCAACCCUGAAUGCAGCGACGCCGCGUGAGUGAU